UCUCUAUCUUCAUUAUUUUUCUUAUUUUUCUUAUUUCCCAUGCUGUUAACUUUCUUUCUCUAUUCCGUUCAUCAUCAAUUCUUCACCAUCAUCAUCAAUCGCCCAAUUCAACACUUAUUCUCAGAAUCUUCAUCUUAGGCUGGCUUCCAAAUAUGAAUGAUAUUUUCUACAUUCAUGGUAGUUUGCUGAGAAGAUUUCAUCUAUUUAUCUAAUCUUCAUCGAAUUCGGCAACACCUUGAAUGUGGCAGCAUUGAUGUUCCAAUCGCAGCUUUAUGAAUUAGGUGGAUGAACUGUUAUUUCCGUAUUAGACGAUGCCACUGCCGUGUGAGUAUCUCCCAACAAAUUUGUUUAAAUUUCAAAAUGAUCCUUUAAAUUGAAAAUCUUCGUUCACGUAUGUGAUAUUUUGAACUCUCCACCGAUGCAAAGUGAGUCUGAAGAAUUACUGAAGUGUCCACGAAAAUAGAACCAGUGCAGGAGAAAAAAUAAAGAGCUUAGCACAAAUAGGAUUUUUGAAGUUAUUUAGUGGUUGCCUUAUCGCAUUUGAAGGUUUGCAGGUUAUUUCUUUGUUUACCCUUUGAAUCUCUUUGAUAUUGCUGAAUAAUAACUGUAGUCUCUUAGAUAGAUCUACUCAAUAGAUAAAACUUGGACAAAGUAAAGUAUAUGCAAAAUCAGAACUCUACCAAAUCCACCAACUUCCAAUAGCCCCUUUUCCAUGAAACCCUUUGUAGCAAAGUAUAGAUCUUUGAACUUAAAUCUAUGAGGGCCAUAUUCAUGUUCCCAAUCUUCAAGAAUCUCAGCAAACAUCUUCCGUUUGAUAUAAUAUAUAACCCUAAAGUUAUCAUGAAUAGCGAACUAAGCAAAAUCAAAGGCAACCCAACAGUUAAAAAUUUAGACUUUUUUUUUUCUCAUCAAAUAUACUUAGCUCAGGAGCAAAUAUUCUUGGCUCAGGAAGUUCAGAGAUUUCAAGGUUUUGAGCUUGGCUAUUAACCUUAAAACUCCAACCAAGAAUAUAAUGAGAAGCUACAAUUAACCCUGUUGAAGAUGAGAAUCCAACAUACAUUCUAUUGUUGAGUAUUGGAGAAAGAUCUUUGGUCAAUGAUAACAAAGGUUGUGUUGGUUUAUCACUAAAACCAACACUAAUUGGAGCUAAAGUAACAUCAUAAUAUCCAUACCUGCAUAUCCACUGGAAAGGGAUAAAUUCCUGAAUCCAUAAUCAUCAUAAUAUCCUGCAGGAGUUGAAUUAGCUGAUUUCAAAUCAUUGAUAUCAAUACCAAUAUGGUUAUCAUUGAUUUCAUCAAACUCAAAAUUUUGAUCAGUGUCAAGCUCAAUACCAAAAACAUGGCUGCUACUGUUUCCAUUGUUGGAAUUGUUAGAGACCAAGGUAUUAAUAUUGUAGUGAAUUUGGUAGCCCUUUUGUAGGUGAAAUAACAAAAACAAUUCCAUGGCCACUAUGAGUUGGAUAUUAAGAUUUUAUAGCAAAUAAAGAAUUAGUUGAGAAAGAAGACACACUUUCACUGAGUGUUUUUGAAAACUAUAGGAUUUGGAUAGAAAGCAUUGCCAUCAAGAUAUAAAUGUGAUGAUUGGAAUCCACUUUAUUUAUAGAUAAAGCAACAUGAACACAAGUCUGAGGAACAUGAUUAUAGUUUGAGAAUGAAUCAUGCUUCUGUAGUUCUGUUCGAGUGUUCGGUGUUUAUUAUUUAUAAGAUUUUGUGCUAAGUGAAGGAAAAAUUGCAUGUCUAAUUCGGGUCCUACUAAGAAAUUUCCUAGAACCUAGCUACGAAUUAUUACUAAAAGAAACAUCACAUGGUUACUAAAAUUGCCUUAUCAUCUGGGUCCUACUAAGAAAUGUCUCAUUUAGUUUAGUGAAGAGAAUGUGUUAUACAUUUGAAUCACAAUUUUUUUUUAUUUUUUUUCCAACAGUAGUAGUGGGUGAAUGUUUUUUUAACAUUUACAUAUUAAGUGUUUGAUGCUAAAUUGAAUAUGUGAAAUUUAAUUAUCAAUGUGUUCUAAUUUCUUAGAAUAAGUAGUGUUUUUUUUUAAUCCUGAAUGUGUGGACUUGACCAGUUACUAUUGAUUAUUGAUUAUGCUUCAAAUCAAAUGAUGAAUGAAUAUGUGGUGGAAAGAUAAAAAGAUAUAUGUUGGUUUGACUCAAUUUCAUACUCACUCCGUCUCUAAAUAUAAGACUCCUCUACAAAUUACUAAAUACAUUUAUUGCUCUUUUUUUUCCAAUAUACUAUCAAUUUAUCUAAGAAUAUGAAAAUUAACUUUGAAUGCACUUUUAUAAAAAGGGUAAUUUAGAAAUAGUAACACACAUUUCAGACAAAUUUAUUACUCGAAAGACUUUUUUUAGUACCCGUGAUUUUUGUAAAGUGUUCUUCUAAAAAAGGAUGGAGGGAAAAUUUUUCUUCAUGCAAAAAUCAUGGUGAAAUUUCGAGCCACAUGUUCCAUCGGUCACAUGUGUUGGCAAAUUGCAGGGAGAUGGAGGCAAAUCACCGGGUAAUUUACUCGUGAUUGACAGCUAUAAAAUACAAUUUUAGACCUGGUUGUUUUGCAAUCUUUCUACUCUAAAGGAGUUAAGGAACUAAUAGGGUGAGGGUUGAGUGUUUUGCAUGAUAUUCUUAUGUUGGAAAACAUCAUGAGAUCUCAUUAGAGUAAAUAUCAAACUCUUUUUCUAGUUUUCUCCUUAGAUCUCAAUUUAGGUUUUAGUGACUUGAAAAAUGGAUAGAAAUUAGAGAUUGUUCUUAUUGUCUACAAGAAUGGUAAAGGUAUUCUUUACCUAGGGCUUUGGUCAAUUUACUCUCAAAUUGUUUCAAACAAACUAAUUUGGCUGAAAUUUUUUUAA